rnacentral:rRNA from 1 species
UACGUAGGGGGCAAGCGUUGUCCGGAAUCAUUGGGCGUAAAGAGCGUGUAGGCGGUCCGGUAAGUCGGCUGUGAAAGUCCAGGGCUCAACCCUGGGAUGCCGGUCGAUACUGCCGGACUAGAGUCCGGAAGAGGCAAGUGGAAUUCCCGGUGUAGCGGUGAAAUGCGCAGAUAUCAGGAGGAACACCGGUGGCGAAGGCGGGAUCCUGGGCCAGUACUGACGCUGAGGAGCGAAAGCGUGGGGAGCAAACAGG